rnacentral:rRNA from 1 species
AUUGAACGCUGGCGGCAGGCCUAACACAUGCAAGUCGAGCGGAGCGGCGGACGGGGGCGUAAUGCCAAGGAAUCGGCCUGGUAGUGGGGGAUAACGUCAGGAAACGGGAGCUGAUACCGCAUACUCUCAGAUGAGCCUAGGUCGGUUUAGCUAGUGGGUGGGGUAAAGGCCUACCAAGGCGACGAGCCCUAGCUGGUCUGAGAGGAUGAUCAGUCACACUGGAACUGAGACACGGUCCAGACUCCUACGGGAGGCAGCAGUGGGGAAUAUUGGACAAUGGGCGAAAGCCUGAUCCAGCCAUGCCGCGUGUGUGAAGAAGGUCUUCGGAUUGUAAAGCACUUUAAGUUGGGAGGCGUUACCAACAGAAUAAGCACCGGCUAACUUCGUGCCAGCAGCCGCGGUAAUUC